UACGGGGGGGGCAAGCGUUGUUCGGAAUUACUGGGCGUAAAGGGCGCGUAGGCGGUUCGCUAAGUUGGAUGUGAAAACUCUGGGCUCAACCCAGAGCCUGCAUCCAAAACUGGCGGGCUAGAGUUCUGGAGGGGGUAGCGGAAUUCCUGGUGUAGAGGUGAAAUUCGUAGAUAUUGGGUGGAACACCGGUGGCGAAAGCGGCUCUCUGGCCCGGAUCUGACGCUGAGGCGCGAAAGCGUGGGGAGCAAACAGG
rnacentral:rRNA from 1 species